UUGUAGACCUUCCUGCCGCAAAC
rnacentral:miRNA from 1 species